rnacentral:tRNA from 1 species
UUUUAUAUAGUUUAUUUAAAACAUUAUAUUUUCAAUAUAAAAUUAUUAAUAUUUUAUUUAUAAAAA